CGAGGCACUACACUGUUAGAUAACCUGAAUGGCAUGUCAAUCAUGCCUCAUUUCAUAUGAAACUUUUAACGCCAUGCCCAUUCCUGCGCAGAACUGAAGGUGAGCCAGUAAACUACACUAUCGCUUAUUCCUCUUGGGUCAGGGUAAGACAGAAAAUCAGUGAUGGAUGGUUAAAAGGAGUCUUGAUGCAGUUCGCGUAGGCUUUCCCUGUGUGCCUUAUCUAUUAACAAGCUCCAUCUAGAGAAGAUAUUGAUGCUGGACUACUUGCCAGAGAGUGUCAGACGCUGGAGCAGCCAUGACUCGCCCUAAAGAGAAAACAUUGAUGCCCACUAAGGAUACUGAUGAGUCUCUGGUAAAUGGGUAUGCAUCUCAUUCACGUCUUGUAGAAAAUAACACCUCACAAUUAGUCCCUGGGAAGAUCAGCACAACCCAAGAAGAACUGCUACAGAAUGGUAACCAGAAAUCAACCAAUGAACAGCCUUGGACAUCAACUCUUCGAAGUAGAAGCCAUCGGCAGAGUAUUGAAGAACCUCCAUUGUUACACAAAAGGGAUUCUGAAGCUGGCCCCUUCCAAACUGGAAAAGCUAGUAGCUCAUUAGGUUAACUCAAUUGUUUAGUGAGGCAGUGCCUGUCUGCAGUUUUUCUAUACUUAUAAAUUUGUUGCAUAUAUUUUUUUACCUAUCAUUCACAUGUAGGGAAUACCAUCUUUCUUCUUGGAGUAACAAUUGCUUGUUACUACUUUGCUUAAUUUAGUGUUAAUAUGGACUUUGAUCUUUCAUUCUUGUCCCUUUAAAUUUGACAUAUUCUUCAUUUUAAUGUUGGGGUUUCUACAAUUCAGCCUGCUUCUCAUCUGUCAAAGGCUCCAGAGUUCUCCAGUUGCAAAAAUUUAAUAUUUUAUUACACUAAAUUACCAGAUUUUGUAUUGAUGGAAGAAAUUUAUACUGAAGCCAUAAUUUGCAGUAUGCCUUUGUCUGACAACACUAACAAGUGUAUAGUAAAUAGAUGCUUUUGGAGUGUUGACUAUGCAUUCUAGAAUUUUCACAACAGUAUAGCUUAACAUAUUUUCUAUGGAACAGAGACGGUUAUACACCAAUUGCCUUAACUUUUAAUUUAUAUUACUUGACUUUAAGCCUUUCUAAUAAAUUUAAAGCAUAAUUAAAAUGCAGAGGUAUUACUUUAUUACAUUUUAAUUACCGUUAUUUUUAUUCAUUUGGUUUAAUUAGCAGCUGGAAUAUUUGUUUUCUAAUUUAUAGUAUUUGAUUUGUAGCUUAAUUCUGUUUUAUCCCCAAAAUAUUUUCAUUCCCUAAAAAAAUCAAACAAAAUGCAAUUCAGUUUGAACAUAUUAAAACUAUUUCCAUAUGUGCAUAUGUCAUUACCCUCAAAUCUCAUAAAUACCAGAUAAACAGUUAUUAAAUAGCAGAGCAUCCAUCACUUUAUUUGUUCUUACUAACUCUAUUUUCAUGAUCUUUCUUAAAAAAAAUAUAUAAAAAUGUAUUCAAUAUUCAUAAUAUGCAUUAAAAGAUAUAAAUCUUAAUUUUCUGAAUUUAAUUUCAUUUUUACCAAACUCAGUGGCUAAGUUUAGUAAUUUCAGAAAAGGUGGAAUUUAGCUAUCUUCCAUCUCUUUGUAAUUAAUUUUGUAGUUGUUGCUAAAAAGUCCCAUAAUGAGUAAUAAUGAGGUGUUUGAGUACAUUCUGAGAUUGGAGCAUUUAAUAAGAUCAAAGCCCUAGAUACAUUACAGUUAUCUGACCACAAGCCUUUAUAUAUAUAUAUAUAUAUAUAUAUAUAUAUAUAUAUAUAUAUAUAUAUAUAUAUAUAUAUAUAUAUAUAUAUGAAAAUGUGGUGAAAGUGCAUUUAAUUUCUUGCAGUCAUAAAAUAUGCUGGCAGUCUAAUCUUAAUUUUAUUAUACUUUCAGCAUCGGUAGCACAAUCACCUUUGGUGCAAAAGGCUGUAGAUUCCAUUCCCACAUCAAGUAAAUCGAUUGCUGACACUGCAGUGCAGCAUAAGGGAGGUGUGCACUGCUGAGUGUGUUGUCCUUUGGAUGGUCCCACAGCACUUAUCAAAAAGAGUAGUUUUAAUUUGUAUACAUAUGUACAGCUCAUAUUUUUACAUAUUUACAAGUUUACAUAUUUUAAAAUCAUUCAGUAUAUGUUGAUAUUUCCAUAUUAAAUAUGCUUCCCACUCUUUUACCCACAAUCAAAACCAUAUUUUCCAGUAUUUUUGUCAAUGUCCAUUUUCCAUUGUAUCAGAUUUCAUUAAGUCUAUCAUUCGAUAUAGUUCAUGUUAAAUAGAAAAUGAUUCUUCUUAGCUUCAUUAUGAGUUCUUGUCCAUAAAACUCACUCUGUCGUGUCCAUGUUUAACAUUUCUGAAUUUAAAAAAACAUUUACUCAAAUCAUGUUUACAUACAUCUUUGCACUGUUUUUUUUAAUUUUCUCACAUUUAAAAAAUAACAUGUUCUGUAGUUUCCAAUUCUUUACAUUUAUUAUAUAUUCUAUCCUGUUUUCUCUUGUAUGGUAUAUUUGCCACCACUGGUCAUUUUCCUAUGGACAGCUUCCACAAAAAAUCAUUGCAUUCUUUAAUUCUUUUAUAAUUUUUGUAUCUCCUCAGUAUUGUUUUUUUCUUAUCUAUCUCUAAUUCUUUUCAUGCAUCCGCCAAAUAAAAGGAUAUCAUAAUGUUAACAUACUAUUCUUUUCUGUUCUUUUCUUUCACAAUUUUGCUAUAAAAUUCUUUCAUUUCUUCAUUAAUAAAACUUUACUUUUUUAUUUCAAUUUCUUCCCAAAUUUCUCUGUUUACAAUACAUUAUUGUUUCUGUCAAAUCUUUAUUAUUUUUCAUUAUUACUUUUAGUACUUUGUACAUGCAGCCUCUAAGUAUGUAUAAUCAGAUUCAUCAGCCCCAACCCCCCUAGUUCAUCUUUUAUACACAACAUUCUCCUCUUAACUGAGUUUAGUCUUGAUCCCCAAAUAAAUGAAAAAAAAUUCUCUACAUAAUUUAGUUUUCAUAUUUCAUUGGCAUCAUAUAAACAUCUGCAGUAUAAGCUAUUUUACCUAUUAUUAUUAUGGUGUUUAUUCAAUAUGCUUUCUUUUUGUAUGAAAACCUAUACAUCUUCCAGAAUGUGAUUUUGUCUUUGAUUCCAUUAAUAACUUUAUCCCAUUGUUCAUGUCUGUAUUCUGUCCUUCCAAAUAACAUUUCUAAAAUAUCUAUAUUCUUUUCUUUAUUUUCCACACCUCCUCUAAUAUCUUCCUACCCAAAUCCUUUGCUUUUCUCUUUCUUUAUGUUUUAACUAAUUUUUCUUCAAUCAUGUACUCAAUGUUUCAUUAAUUUUUCCAUCCAGACUUUAUUUUUGCUAUUACUGCAAUAUAAUCAGCGUAAGUGUACAUUAUUG